UGAACUCCUGUUUUCUUGUCUCUCAAAACAGGAGAAUUACAGCCUGCUGCUAGAGUGUUUGAUCAGUGUAAAUGAUUUGUGUCUAUAAGAUGCCAUGUACAGCCACAAUCUCAGUGAGAAAUGGGUUGUCGCCUCUUCUUCUUCAACUCAGUGCUCGUGUAAGAAUUCUGGUGACUGUUAGAAGCAUGCUUCCAAGCUGUCCGUGUCCUCGGCAUCCAGAAGCGGAGCCUGGAAGCUACUGAAUUUCUCCAGAAUGCGUUCUACAUUCACCUUCGGCAGAUACUCAGCACUCCCUGCACCAUUUGUUGAAUAGACUAUUCUUUCAAUGGAGUGUUGUUGGCACCCUUGUGGAAAACUGACUGUAAAUAUAAGGAGACUGAGAAUUAGGUCUUCUGUAUUUUGGAUGGAGCUCAUUAUCAAUGACAGGAAAUUGUAAGGAAAAAGAUAUUGAUUCAUCCUGAGAAAAUAUUUUUCUGACCGUCAGCAUUGAAGAGGGUGAACACUGAAGAAGGUGAUCAUUGUUUGAUUGAGACGAGCCCCGGGUUGUACGGAGUCAGCAUCCCUGUCCUGGACACGGCACGUGUAGAUCUGCGUGGUGGGUGAGGCGGCGAGG